GGCUCCCCUCAGCGCUUCCUGGAAACUCCCGCUUAGGAGCGAGGGGGGGCGGGAGCGAAAGAGUCCCAGGCCGGGAACGGGAGGGGGGCAGGGCACAGCCCCCUCUCCGUGCCUGGACGCCCCCCGAGCCCGCUGACACCCCUCAGGCCGACCCUCACCCCCUCUUCCUGUGCAGAUGGAGCAGGGAGAAGUAAGAUCCCCUGUUCCCGGCUGAGUGAUGCUCCCGGGAAGCCCAGGUCACUAGAUGGUACUGUUGCUGUUCAAUAUCGACGCCUCCGCGGGCCAGCUCCUUGGGAAACUCGCGUUUCUGUCGGGAGCGAAGGACGGCGGUGGAAUUUGUGAGGGAGACGUGAGCGAGGAGCCGGGGAGGAGAAGUAGAAGGAUGAGGCAUAAAGAGGAGGAACUCACCCAGGUCCCACCCAGCACUGCAGAAGGAACCAGAAUUACCAGCCCUCGCUCUGCCUCGCCCAGGGUGUGCCCUGAUGAAAACAAACUGUUGGACAUUUUCCCCAAACACUCCUCUGCUGC